ensembl:lncRNA
UUUCAUUAUGAUCCAAUGUUACUUUAUUUAUUUGUUGCUCACAUUGUUCCAGAUUUGACCACAGGUAACUUUCAGUUGACUCUUAUGUCCCUUUGACAUAUCUCUACCUUUGUGGGGCUUUUUGUUUGUUUUUUUAGCACCUCCUUACUUCCUGGCACUGUGAAAUAUUCCAAUCAUUUCUUGUGUAUUUCCUGCUCUAGUCCUAGACUCGGCCAUUUCUCCAAGGAGUGUUUUGUUGACAAAGAUAAAAGAAACCAAGAUCUAGGCUCCAGGUGUGCUCCUUGCUUCUGGGGUGUCAUCGAUUCUGGGCCCUCUCAGCUGACAGAGAAAGAAAAUAUGUGUGUAUGUUGUCGUCACAUGCUGUCAAGUCGGCUUCAACUCCUGGCAACCCAAUGAAUGAAUGAUGUCCUCAACGACCCUACUCAGCUUCCGUAGACUCAUGCCUAUGGCUUCCUCUAUGGUGUCACAAUCCACCUCAUAUUUGGUCUUCCUGUUUUCCUGCUGCCUUCUACUUUUCCCAGCAUCAUUGUCUUUUGCAAACAAUCCUGACUUUUCAUCAUGUGUCCAAAGAAGGACAGCCUAAGUUUUAUCAUUUUUGCCUCCAGUCACAGUUCAGCCUUAAUUUGCUCUAGGACCCACUUGUUCAUCUUUCUGGCAGUCCAGAGUAUCUGUAGAGCUCUAUUCCAGCAUCAUAUUUCAAAUCAAUCAAUUUUUUUUCCUGUCAGCCUUCUUCACUGUCCAGCUUUCACACCUGUACCUAGUAAUUGGGAAUAUAAGGAAGUAGAUAAUCUUGACCCUAGACUCUAAUGACACUUCCUUACACUUGAUGAUCUUUCCUAAUUCUUUCAUUGUUGCCCCCGCCUCAAGUCUUAGUCUUUUCUCGACUUAUUGGCAGUAGUUUCCAUUUAAAUUGGUGACUGAACCAAGGUAAACGAAAUCUUUAACAAUUUCAAUGUCUUCAUUCAAGUUGGGUAGAGCUUCUGUGGUCCUGAUUUUUCUCUUCUUGACUUUCAAAUGCAGUCCUGCUUUGCCACUUUCUUCUCUCACUUUCCUCAGAAGUUAUUUCAAGUCAUUGCUGCUUUCUGUAAGACGGCGUCAUCUGCAUGUCUUAGAUUAUUAAUAUUUCUUCCAUCCAUUUUCACUCCUCCUUCAUCUGAGUCUAGCCCAGCUUUUGUGUGAUAUGUUCUGUGUACAGGCUAAACGUAUAGGUAGAUAAAACACAUCCUUGUCUGACACCCUUGCCUGUAGGAAACCAUUCUGUCUCUCCAUAUUCUGUCCUGACACUCUCUUCUUGUCCACAAUACAGCUUAUGCAUCAGGACAAUCAAGUUCUGAGGCACGCCCAUUUCUUUGAGAGCAGCCCAGAGCUUUUCAUGAUCCACGUGUGAAAUCCACGAUGGAGAGACUGAAUUCUGUCUGCCAAAACAGUAGCAGGAGCAGACUGUGCUCCUGACCAUGAACUGUUCAUAUCAAAUAUCAGAGAGAGCUGAAGAAGAGCACUGAAAGAGUCACAGUGCCAAAAUAUGACAAAUACAACAUUGCCGUGAAUUCAAAGUCCACAUAAAAAACUUAUUUGCAUUGUUAAAUUUAAUUGACUGAGAACCAGUAAAACUAUGGACUGAAAUCAGAAAUAUUAUUAAGGAAGAAUGCCAAAAGAUAAUGCCUGAAGUAAAAAGAAAAGAAAAAUCAAGGAUGACAGCAGAGACACACAGAAUUGUUAAGGACAGGCAAGAAGCAACAGUAAAAGGUGAUGAAAGUAGGGUUAGAAUCCUGAGCGCAGUCUCCCAGUGAUGUCAUACAGAGAUAAAGAGAACUACUAUAAUGGCCAAUGCAAAGAGAUGGAAGAGAACAAAGAAAAAGGAAGAACAAGAGGUCUCUUCCUGAAGAUUCGAGAAAUCGAAGGGAAAUUUAGACCUAGAUUAGGAAUGCUGAAGGACCAACAGGGAAGCACACUCUCUGAUCAGGAGAAGACAAAGGGAAGGUAGAAACAGUGCACUGAAGAUCUACACAGAAGAGACAAAAGGAUGAUGGAUGCCUUUGUAGACGAUUCCUAUGAGGAAGAACCUGUAAUUUUAGAUCGUGAAGUGGAAGCUGCCCUGAAAGUACUGGGAAGAAAAAAGUCACCAGUGUUAGGUUAGAUAUUGAUAGAAUUAUUUCAAGACACAGAGACUGAAUUUGUCAAAAUCCUAACAAGAACAUGCCAACAAACAUGGAAAACAAAAAAAAAUGACCAAUAGACUGGAAACGUGCAACAUAUAUCCCAAUCCCCAAAAAAGGAGACGCCAAAGAGCGCAGUGACCAUAGGACCUUUGCUCUAAUGUCCCAUGCAAAUGCUCAAGGUGCUACAGUAAAGGCUUUUACCUUAUGGGGAGCGAGAAUGCCUGAUAGCCAAGCUGGAUUUUGAAAGAAGAGGCACACAAGAUCUCCUUGGGGUUGUUCGUUGGCUACUGGAGUGCUCCAAAGAAUUUCAGAAGAAGCUAGUCUAUGUUUUACAGACUAUAGUAAAGCCUUUGACUGUGUAGAUUGUGUGUGUAUACUAACCUGUAUAUAUACAUAUAUCUGUAACUCCACCCAUAUGUAUAUGUAACCAUCUGUAUCUAUAUUAAGCUAAACAUGAAUUCAUCCUGAUGUCUUCAACUUUAAUCAAUUGCCACAUGGAUCAUUCUAGCCUUCCCCCCUUGCUUAUCUGUAAACUCCCAUUACAACAGUGAGAAACCUGGCUCCCACCAGCUGCCACCCAUUUACUUAAUCAUUCAGUUCAACACAUUUAAUUAAUUUUUAAUCUAGCAUGUCUCCAAGUUGCUCUCUGCAGUUCUAUUUUCAGGAAUCUGUGAGUUCUUCCUUUAACAAAAACAAAAAAAAGCUUUUUAGAUCUUCCCUGCCCUCCAGCUGUCUUGCUCUGAUUGUCUUGUGCCUGUAGAAGAAUAAGACCCAAUACGCAGGGCACUCAGCAGAAUUCCUGGGUCUGUGGAACAUCGUGAUGUGCUGGGCUUGAAGGAGGUUGUUGAACAAUGCAGAGACCCAACACUCAAAGCAAAGGAGAGAAGAGUGCGUUGCACAUGGAUGACGACAAUGGGAGCUGCUCAUCUGUGAACACUUGCCAUGUCCUGGGCACUCUGCUAUCUACCUUACAAGCUUCGGCACCCUAUUUUAUAAGUGGAAUAUAUUUUUUGGGGUGGCUAUAGAAAAGCAAAAAGGGGACAAUAUAAAUCAAUGUAACUCCAUCGCAUAGAUUUAACCACCUCUACUAGUCCGAUGGAACUUGAUAACAGCAGUCUCCCAUAAGGAGGAUCAGCCCAAAUUAAGUGCCUAGAGAAGGCAGACAUCCAGACUCCGUAUCAUAGUAUGUUGCACUCUGGGAACAAGAUGGAACAGAUUCUCCUUUAUGGCAGAGGCAGAACAGAAGCUGUGACUUUGUAUAGAUGUCUUGAGUGAGGGGCCUGGGGAAGGGGAGUUCUCAUCUCUGGAAUGCAAGGGCUUUAUAUCUCUCUAGACAAAUCACAUAAAAGAACAAAGUAUCAGAUUGGAGACCUUGAAGGAAAAGAAAAAAAAUGACUGCUUAAAGUGUUCUUUCUUGCACAGAACCCUAAGCUGAAAUGUCCAGUGUACUCAAACACUGUUGAAUUAAACGGAAUGAGUUAAAAAAAAAAAA